UAUGCACAGCAUUUCUUGGACUUUGAACACACCCACACACAUUUAUAUAAACCUGCCGAGUUACAAACGCUUGCUUUCAGUUUCCGCGACACCACAGCACACAGACACCGGCGAAGAUGGAGUUUGCCUGCAGUCACGUUGUGUGUCACUGGAGGCCUGACGGAGCAGGUAUUCCUCUUCUUAAGCACCAGCAUGACGACAAAGUUACUGUAAAGCAACAGGAAGUUCCUCCGCCGCUGCCUCCUCGUCGUCUCCCCAGAAAACCCAGACCUUCCUCCCUUCCUCCUCCUCUUCCUCCCUCUUCCUCUCGUCCUCCCUUCGCUCCUCUCUCCCUCCCGCCGCCCCUCCCACCCAGAGCUGAGAGCCGGCUGAGAGCCAACGUCAACGUGGUGUCGCUUAGUGUGGGGACACUGGUGGACGUCAGCCGAGCUUCAGGCCUGGAGAGUUUUCAGAGCCCAGUGCUUUGUGGGAAAUGUAGUGCUGCCUUAUCCUGCCUGAGUUCUAUGCAGAAAAAUGUGUGGGUGUGUGAGUUCUGCGGAUGUGAGAGUGCAGUGAGCGACACAGUGCGUGUGGGUGACAGAGUGCGUGUGGGUGACAGAGUGUGUGUGAGUCACAGAGUGUGUGUGGACGACAUCUACCUGCAGAACCACAGCGAGGACGACUACCAGAACCUGGAGGAAUCACUGGUGGUGUUCUGUGUGGACGUCUCCGGCAGCAUGAGCGUUACUGCUGAGGGAACAUCAAGCAGUGGAUCUCCAACAUACAUAUCCAGACUGGAGGGUAUGCAGGAUGCCCUACAGGGGGCGCUGUCCUCCCUCCUGCAGGAGUCUCCCCGCAGGAGAGUGGCUCUGGUCACAUUCAACGAUGAGGUGGUGAUAUAUGGAGAUGGCACCAGCACUCCUCUGACUCUCAGGGACUGGGCGCUGGUGGACUACGACCAUAUUUGGAAACAGGGCGUGGCUUACAGCAUCCCGCACUGUAUCGCUGAGACGUACCAGCAGCUGAUGCAGAGGGUCAAAGACCUCAGGGAACAUGGAGCUACGAGUCUCGGUCCUGCAGCGUUAGCCUCGGUUGCCAUGGCAUCAAGAUAUCCAGGGUCAAAGGUGGUUCUGUGUACUGACGGCAGAGCCAACAUUGGGCUGGGAGAGAUGGAGAAAGCUCCCUCUCUCUCCUCUCUCUCCCCCUCCUCCCUCACCCCUUAUUUCUACAAACAGCUGGCUCAGCAGGCGGUGGAGAGCGGAGUCAUAAUAUCCGUGAUGACGUUUGAAGGGACUGAUUGUCGUUUGGCAGACGUUGGGAGGUUUGCAGACACAACUGGAGGAAGGGUGAACAUCGUGAGCAUCGGCACCGUGGCAACAGAGAUACAGUCGGCUUCCGUGGACAACAUCCUAGCAACGGGAGUCACGGCAACCCUUAUUGCUCCUGAUGGAGUGUAUUUUCCCUUUGAGGACGAACAGAAUCACACACUGGUGAGAGAGAUUGGAAACGUGACCAAAGGGCUGGAGGUCACCUUCCAGUUCGCUGUGAAACCAGAGUUCAUGGAAGUUUUCCUUCAGAAGGACACACUUCCUUUCCAACUCCAGCUGAGUUUUAAGACCAGAGACCAGGAGAAAGUGACUCGUGUGAUCACUGAACAGAGACCUGUUGCUUCCUCCAGCUCAGAUGUAUUGCCAAAAAGCAUUGAUACAACAAAGAAAUACUCUGCCAAACACUCAUGUCCUUCUCCUGAAGUGGGAUUUGGGCCGGGAGUCUCAACAUGGCGGUACUCGGCGUUCACUCCGCUCAGCUCUGCGCCAGAUUAACCAUGGAGGGACGCGUCCAGGAAGCUCAGAGACAACUGAAGGAUCAGCAGCACCUGCUCAGCCUCAUCAGUAAGCAGAGGCCUAUCAAAAAAGAAGAGAGUAUCUAUGGCAACUGGAUGGACACCAUGACAACAAUCUGUGAUGACAUCACCCCUGGAUCACAGACUCUCUCUGAUGAAGCAGCGAAGGUAAUGUACCAGAUGAAGAGAGCCAGCAGCGUCAGCAACAACAACAGCAACAACAGCAACACUAUGCAGGGGAAGGAAAAGGCCCUAAUGGAAGGAAUGUAAAGACAUUUGGCCUCCAUAUAUAUGAAGAUUUCAUUUCAUUUUUAGCCAUAUUGGCUUCAUAGACUGUUUAUAACAAGUGGAUGCAGCCACCAUGAUAUUAGUACCAUUUUGAAGCCUCAAUUAUUGUCAUUUGGUCGUUGCGACCUUGAUGUUUUGGACCAGAAGUGACUCAGUACAGUAGAACCGAACGCUGAACAAGACUCAUACGGAUACCAACAUUUUCUAUUAACUUUCAUGAAUUGAAAACACGAAAAACACCCAACUGGACGACAUAGUAGCUUGCUGUCAAUCAAUAAGUCAAUUAAUCGUUAGACUUAAAGCUAAAGAUUAACACCAUAAACUCACAAUAAAAAUGUUCGAAGAGGUAAUAAAUCAAGAAAGAAGCAGGGUCAUUUUCUCAUAGACUUCAAUGGAGUCGAGCCCCCUGCUGGCCAUUUGAAAUAAUGCAGGUUUAAUGUUUUUCCGCAUUGGCUUCGCUUUUAAGACAUGGAUGUUUUAAAACUAGAUUUGCUCACAACUGAAGGAAAAUGAUUUUCAGUGACUUUUAUUUAUUCAUAAAAUGUGUAGGCCUAUGCAUAUUCGAUAGAGUAAAAACAUGUGUUUACCUUAAUAACCCUUCUGUUUAUUUGCUAGUUAGCUAGUUAUUGUACCUUUGAAUGCAUUCUCACAUUUCAACGUUAGAUGUUGACAUGUUUAAGGAUUUGAUUUAUGUGUCGCUGUGUGAGUUGACUUCCAGACGCUUGCAAAGGAUGAUUAAUUGCAUGUGAGUAUUUACAAUCAUAGGUGUUAUGCUAGGAGUCUGGCCUGGCACAGUGACCUAGUAACAUUUCUUAGUGUGUUUCUGGUACUACAGUCUGUCGCUGAAGGCUGUUUCAGUAGUUUAUAGCCUUCAAAUAUCUCUUGUGAUUAACUCUGUCUACCUUUUGAAGGAGCUGUAGAUACUAAUGGUGCAUUCAGGCGGCCCUAGUAAACUCAGAAAGUUGCACAUUUUGUUCGGCACUACAGAGUUUCAGAAGCACUGAAAAUGGCUAUGAAGCGGUACAUAUAAGCAGUACAUUUUGGUUAGUGAUGGACACCAAAACAGAGCUUAAAGAGCGUGAAAAUUGGACUCUAAAUAUGUCAAUUCAAUACUGGGAAUAUCAAGGCAAUAGAUCAUCACGUUUCUCCAGCUUGAAUACAAUAUCACCACCUACUCCUGGAUUUCCAUAAAACACUUUUUCUUGCCACAUAACCCCAUAUUUAACUAUUUUUAUCCAAAAACUAUCUUUUUCUGGUUAUAAAAAGUCAUCUUAUCUUCACCAACUUUCUGAUUCCCCACCAAAAAGUAUUAAAAGAAACGUUCAAGAUACUGUGUCAGCAGUUGGUUAGCAUAGCUUAGCAUGACGACUGGAAACGGAUGAAAACAAGUAGUCUGAAGGUCAGACAAUUAGACUACUUGAUGGAAACAAGACUCAAACUAACCAGUGAUGUGGCUCCUUAACUGCUGGAUGUAUAAAUAAAGAAAUAAAGAAAACA